rnacentral:rRNA from 1 species
AGUGAACGCUGGCGGUAGGCCUAACACAUGCAAGUCGAACGGCAGCACAGUAGGAGCUUGCUCUUACGGGUGGCGAGUGGCGGACGGGUGAGGAAUACAUCGGAAUCUACUUUUUCGUGGGGGAUAACGUAGGGAAACUUACGCUAAUACCGCAUACGACCUACGGGUGGAAGCAGGGGAUCUUCGGACCUUGCGCGAUUGAAUGAGCCGAUGUCGGAUUAGCUAGUUGGCGGGGUAAAGGCCCACCAAGGCGACGAUCCGUAGCUGGUCUGAGAGGAUGAUCAGCCACACUGGAACUGAGACACGGUCCAGACUCCUACGGGAGGCAGCAGUGGGGAAUAUUGGACAAUGGGCGCAAGCCUGAUCCAGCCAUACCGCGUGGGUGAAGAAGGCCUUCGGGUUGUAAAGCCCUUUUGUUGGGAAAGAAAAGCAGCAGGUUAAUACCCCGCUGUUCUGACGGUACCCAAAGAAUAAGCACCGGCUAACUUCGUG